GACGUAGGGCGCGAGCGUUGUCCGGAUUUAUUGGGCGUAAAGAGCUUGUAGGCGGUCUGUCGCGUCUGCUGUGAAAAUCCGGGGCUCAACCCCGGGCCUGCAGUCGAUACGGGCAGACUAGAGUGCGGUAGGGGAGACUGGAAUUCCACGUGUAGCGGUGAAAUGCGUAGAGAUGUGGAGGAACACCAAUGGCGAAGGCAGCCUUCUGGGCCAACACUGACGCUCAUGCACGAAAGCGUGGGGAGCAAACAGG
rnacentral:rRNA from 1 species